UUACUUAGCUAACAAGAUUUUCCACCGUCUGCACUACCUGGAGAGGGAGGCUGGGUCCCUGCGGGGGACACAUGCCCCCAUCCCGGAAUGCUGCGUUCUGGGGUUGAAGGCUUUCUUCAGGGUCCAACAGAUGUGGGCUGAACAAGCUGCAGGGCUGUCUGGAAGGAAGGGGAAAAGGGCACAUUUCACCUCACCUGUGACAUAUCAGUCACCCGUCUGUGCUGUUGUAGACUAAAGACACUUUUCCCGGGAAGCCCGCGGCUGGUAGACUCAUGGCGUCUGGUAGACUCAUGGCGUCUGGUAUUGGGACAUUUUGAUGGGAUGGGAACCUCCCUGGUGUGUCAUUCAGCGGAAGAGAUCAGAGCCGUAGUUAACGUUUGUUUGAUUUUUAACUAGGCCCCGGAUGCAGGGAAAUCAUUACCAGAAAACUCACAGGCCUCCUUUUGGAAGGGGGCCCUGGGUUCUAGUCAGUGGGGCAGGGAUGGCGGGAAGGGACAGGACACAGAGCAAGUGGUCGAUCCUGCACUGGGACAGGCAAAGGCUCUUGUCCUGCAUCUGCAGUGGAAAAGCUGGGGGUCUUGGGCGGGUCACAUCUCUAUCUGGAGAUUGGGGUCUUCAUUUGCAGAAUGAGGAUUCAUUCAAUUCCCCCAAACUCCCCUGGAGCUGGAAGCACAAAGUUAAAAUGUGUCAUUGAAAUCUACAAAAGGAUGGAAGGGGCAGAUGAAGUGAAUGCCUCUACCUUCCAGACUUCUUCUGCUGGCCCCGCACUCACCCCAGCUUUGAUAGCACUCUGAGCUCCGAGACGGAGCCGAGCUUCACAACCCCAAGCUUCCUUCACCCCAGGGGACCCACCUCCUUUCCCCUGGGAGCCCUUGGUGGUGGCAGUGGGACCCCAGCCCCAGCCGUGCCAGGGAUCACAGAAGGGAGUUUGGCUGUAUCGCUUCUCUGAAAAUUACUUUCUGCGUCACUUUUCCAAAUCUGAAUUAAAAGGGGCACUCUACCAUCAAUUAAGUCAGGGUGUCCUUAAAGACUGACCAAAGUUUUGGGGGGCUUCAUACACCAAGGCUGGAGCUUGUGUCUCAUUUUCCAUGGAGGGUUUGGCAGUCAGUCAGUCGUGCAGUGACCCCCUCCCCCAGGCCCCCUAGAUAACUUUUGUCCCUGGUUGUGAUUCUGUUUUCAUUGCUCUCACCCUGCAGUUUUCACAUGGGGUCUCAGAAAACAAAAUACCAGCCCCGUAGGCAAGGUCGCCCUUCUCUAGAUGUGGUUUAGAGGCGGGCCAUGAGUAGGUGGGUGCACCCCGCCCAUCCCUGCAGCUGUGGGGACGAACCUGCUUGAGAAAGUCCAUCUUAAUGGCAGGAGGUUGGAGGAGACGGGAAAUGGUAAAGAUGCGGUGCCAUUGUUAUGCACCUACUGUAUGCCAGGGCUCUGUCUUGCCCUCAUCACACCCCCAGUCCUGUGGCUGCACAGAUAGUGUUCAGAUGUCCCUCGGACCUUUGCCCCUCUGUCUGCACAUUGGGUCACAAUUAGGUUGGCACAUUGGGUCACAUUUAGGUUUGCAUCUUUUGUUUUCUUCGACAUUUUGGAACCUGCUCGUUGACUUCGGCACCUUUCCAGUCGGGUUGCAUUUGAAGGCCCACUCGCUGGGGCUGUGCCGUCUGCCUGGGGGAGAGGUUGUUAUGAUGUCUGGGGAGUGGAGGCCCUGGGGCUGCAGGUGGCCAAGGGCUGUGGGCACUUCUACCUUCAGAAGGUUGGUUAGUUAUUUUUAGUCUUUUUACCUGCUAAGGCAGCUGAAUAUCUUUCCAGAAUAGCUCCCCAGGCUUUGUCAUGUGAGAACAAGCCAGAGCAUUCAGUCUGUCAGUACUUGGUGCCCACUGGGUGCCAGGGGCUGGUCCCUAAUGCUGGGGAUACCACAGGGAGCAAAAAACAAACCCCUGCCCUCCUGGAUCCCACAUUCUUGUGGGGAAGACAGUCUGCAGUAGGUCUGAAUGUAGGUGUGUGCCACAGACAAACACCCAGCAGGCAGAGAACGGCACGAGCAAAGGCCCUGGGGCAGGUGAGUGCCUGCUGUGGUCUGGGCUCAGCAAGGUGCACAGGGAAGAAAUGAGCACAGUCAGGGAAUGCCAGGCCUUGUCCACCUUGGAAGGAGCUUUUAAUAAUUAUGGCUACCCUCGGGACUUCCCUGGUGGCGCAGUGGUUCAGAAUCUGCC